GGAGACGUGGCCGAGUGGCUGAAGGCGGCGCUUUGCUAAAGCGUUGUACUCCAAAAGGGUACCGGAGGUUCGAAUCCUCUCGUCUCCGCCA
rnacentral:tRNA from 1 species